GUACACUCCUGCGGGAGGCAGCAGUGGGGAAUAUUGGACAAUGGGCGCAAGCCUGAUCCAGCCAUGCCGCGUGAGUGAUGAAGGCCCUAGGGUUGUAAAGCUCUUUCACCGGUGAAGAUAAUGACGGUAACCGGAGAAGAAGCCCCGGCUAACUUCGUGCCAGCAGCCGCGGUAAUACGAAGGGGGCUAGCGUUGUUCGGAUUUACUGGGCGUAAAGCGCACGUAGGCGGACUAUUAAGUCAGGGGUGAAAUCCCGGGGCUCAACCCCGGAACUGCCUUUGAUACUGGUAGUCUUGAGUUCGAGAGAGGUGAGUGGAAUUCCGAGUGUAGAGGUGAAAUUCGUAGAUAUUCGGAGGAACACCAGUGGCGAAGGCGGCUCACUGGCUCGAUACUGACGCUGAGGUGCGAAAGCGUGGGGAGCAAAUAGGAUUAGAAACCCUAGUAGUCCCAU
rnacentral:rRNA from 1 species